UACAGAGGUCUCAAGCGUUGUUCGGAUUCAUUGGGCGUAAAGGGUGCGUAGGCGGCGCGGUAAGUCGGGUGUGAAAUCUCGGGGCUUAACUCCGAAACUGCAUUCGAUACUGCCGUGCUUGAGGACUGGAGAGGAGACUGGAAUUUACGGCGUAGCGGUGAAAUGCGUAGAUAUCGUAAGGAAGACCAGUGGCGAAGGCGGCGUUCUGGACUGCAACUGACACUGAGGAACGAAAGCCAGGGGAGCAAACGGG
rnacentral:rRNA from 1 species